UGGGGAAUAUUGCACAAUGGGCGCAAGCCUGAUGCAGCCAUGCCGCGUGUAUGAAGAAGGCCUUCGGGUUGUAAAGUACUUUCAGCGGGGAGGAAGGGAGUAAAGUUAAUACCUUUACUCAUUGACGUUACCCGCAGAAGAAGCACCGGCUAACUCCGUGCCAGCAGCCGCGGUAAUACGGAGGGUGCAAGCGUUAAUCGGAAUUACUGGGCGUAAAGCGCACGCAGGCGGUUGAUUGAGUCAGAUGUGAAAUCCCCGGGCUUAACCCGGGAAGUGCAUCUGAUACUGGUCAGCUAGAGGCUUGUAGAGGGGGGUAGAAUUCCAUGUGUAGCGGUGAAAUGCGUAGAGAUGUGGAGGAAUACCGGUGGCGAAGGCGGCCCCCUGGACAAAGACUGACGCUCAGGUGCGAAAGCGUGGGGAGCAAACAGG
rnacentral:rRNA from 1 species